rfam:Nippostrongylus brasiliensis genome assembly, scaffold: NBR_scaffold0001208
GUCUCAGUAGCAUAGUAGUUAGUGCACAGGGCCGGAUAGGGUGAGACGCGGGUUCGAAUCCCGCCUGAGAUG